ACCUUUACUUGUAAUGCUUGCUAUAGACAGCAUUCGACCUUUAGGUAUUACUGUAGGACAUGUGUUUUUAGUCUGGAUAUUGAAUGCGCCCUGAUUCCUACACUAAAUACUGAAAGUGAAAAGGAUCAAAUUCAACAUUUCAGUCAUUGGCACCCUUUGACCCUCUAUGAACAGUUGAAAGAUUUUGAAACUUGCUGUGGAAUAUGUGGGAAGUUCUGUUUGAGUUCCAUCUAUGGUUGCAGCCAAUGUAAAUUCUACCUCCAUAAAUCUUGCAUGGAAGCUUUACAUAGAAAGAUUCAACACUUAUUUCAUGAAUGCCCACUUGUUCUACUCACAACGCCAUCUUAUAAAUGUGAUGGCUGUGGCAAGGAUUGCUCGGGC
rnacentral:misc_RNA from 1 species